UUGUUGCAUAGCCUGCAACAUGAGGGAUGACUCCUCCCCUCCUUCCUUAUUUGAUGUUUCACCCUCGGAAGACAUAUUUUUGAAACUACAAAAAAAAUGUUAGAAAUAAUUCCUCACAACACUCCCUCACGUGUUUGCACUCACACUCGUGUUUCACUCUUAAAUUGGCUUUUUCCCGAUAUUAGUCUCACACUCUCUUGCUUUUUUCCACUCGUAGCUUCCCCU
rnacentral:lncRNA from 1 species